UACGUAGGGUGCAAGCGUUGUCCGGAAUUAUUGGGCGUAAAGAGCUCGUAGGCGGUUUGUCGCGUCUGCUGUGAAAACUCGGGGCUUAACCCCGGGCCUGCAGUGGGUACGGGCAGACUAGAGUGCGGUAGGGGAGACUGGAAUUCCUGGUGUAGCGGUGAAAUGAGCAGAUAUCAGGAGGAACACCGGUGGCGAAGGCGGGUCUCUGGGCCGUAACUGACGCUGAGGAGCGAAAGCGUGGGGAGCGAACAGG
rnacentral:rRNA from 1 species